rnacentral:tRNA from 1 species
GCAGAAGGUGGCGGAAUUGGUAGACGCGCUAGCUUCAGGUGUUAGUGUCCUUACGGACGUGGGGGUUCAAGUCCCCCCCCUCGCACCA